rnacentral:rRNA from 1 species
GAUGAACGCUGGCGGCGUGCCUAAUACAUGCAAGUCGAGCGAACAGACGAGGAGCUUGCUCCUCUGACGUUAGCAGCGGACGGGUGAGUAGCACGUGGAUAACCUACCUAUAAGACUGGGAUAACUUCGGGAAACCGGAGCUAAUCCGGGAUAAUAUAUUGAACCGCAUGGUUCAAUAGUGAAAGACGGUUUUGCUGUCACUUAUCGAUGGAUCCGCGCCGCAUUAGCUAGUUGGUAAGGUAACGGCUUACCAAGGCAACGAUGCGUAGCCGACCUGCGAGGGUGAUCGGCCACACUGGAGCUGAGACGCGGUCCAGACUCCUACGGGAGGCAGCAGUAGGGAAUCUUCCGCAAUGGGCGAAAGCCUGACGGAGCAACGCCGCGUGAGUGAUGAAGGUCUUCGGAUCGUAAAACUCUGUUAUUAGUGAAGAACAAAUGUGUAAGUAACUAUGCACGUCUUGACGGUACCUAAUCAGAAAGCCACGGCUAACUACGUG